rnacentral:rRNA from 1 species
GAUGAACGCUGGCGGCGUGCCUAAUACAUGCAAGUCGAGCGAAGCGGGGACGGGUGAGUAACACGUGGGUAACCGCCUAUGGGGCUGGGUUAACAUCGGGAACCCGAGGCUAAACCGGAUACUUAUAAAUUGAGCCGAGCUGCCUUAGCUAGUUGGUAAGGUAACGGCUUACAAAGGAAACGAUGCAUAGCUGACAUGAGAGGAUGAUCGGCCACACUGGAACUGAGACACGGUCCAGACUCCGACGGGAGGCAGCAGUAGGGAAUAUUCCGCAAUGGGCGAAAGCCUGACGGAGCAACGCCGCGUGAGUGAUGAAGGUCUUCGGAUUGUAAAACUCUGUUAGUAGGGAAGCGGUACCUAAUGAGAAAGCAACGGCUAACUACGUGCCAGCAGCCGCGGUAAUUC